rnacentral:rRNA from 1 species
GAAGAGAUUACUCGUGAGCUUGAUGGUGAUGGUAGUCAAAAGAAAGGUGGAAGAAAAAUUACUCGAAAGGCUAACAUAUAUGCAAGGCUGAAUCAACCCAAAAUCCAUAUUCCACUUAAUGGGGAUGGCCAGCCUGUUGGGCCAGAUGCAACUGAAUUUGCCAAUUUCAUUGGUACUUUGGCGAGGAAGCAUAUACCACCUGCAAAGUUAGAUUGGCAAGAUGUUGAUGUAGAGAAAAAGUUGUUAGUGUGGGAGACCUUGAAGGCAUUUUAUGAGCUGGACUCAACUGCUUUGAGCUUUGUUAUCAACACUUCACACAUAAAAUGGAAGGAUUGGAAGUCAGAUUUAAAGAGGUACAAGUUUGAUGCUGUGCUCACUGAUGCACAACUUAUGAAAAGACGUGACAGCAGAAUUAGUGAAGCUGACUAG